GCUUGCUACUGCCCACCCCACCCAGGGAUCGAGCACACCAAAGCCAGCUCCAAGGAGUUCCCUGGCGUGGCAGUUAUUCAGACAAUGUGCUGACAAGACACGAAUGGUUUGCACGCUGUGCAAUCAAAGCCUGAAGUGAGGCAUAAACGUGCUAAACCUGAGCACAACCUGCAUGACCAGGCAUCUACAUGCAAAGCACAAACUGCAGUGGAGUAAGCACCUCAAAAAUCAAGAAAGGUCUCAGGC